CAGAAAAUAGUUUAUGAAAAUUUUAAUUUUGGAGAUUAAAGAUAGGAGGAAUAUCUUCUUUUUCUGA
rnacentral:tRNA from 1 species